rnacentral:rRNA from 1 species
UACAGAGGUGGCAAGCGUUGCUCGGUAUCACUGGGCUUAAAGGGUGCGUAGGCGGCGCGGUAAGUCGGGUGUGAAAUCUUGGAGCUUAACUCCGAAACUGCAUUCGAUACUGCCGUGCUUGAGGACUGGAGAGGAGACUGGAAUUUACGGUGUAGCGGUGAAAUGCGUAGAUAUCGUAAGGAAGACCAGUGGCGAAGGCGGGUCUCUGGACAGUUCCUGACGCUGAGGCACGAAGGCCAGGGGAGCAAACGGG